rnacentral:rRNA from 1 species
GACGAACGCUGGCGGCGUGCUUAACACAUGCCAGUCGAACGGAAAGGCCCUGCUUUUGUGGGGUGCUCGAGUGGCGAACGGGUGAGUAACACGUGAGUAACCUGCCCUUGACUUUGGGAUAACUUCAGGAAACUGGGGCUCAUACAGGAUAGGUGCUCCUGCUGCAUGGUGGGGGUUGGAAAGUUUCGGCGGUUGGGGAUGGACUGGCGGCUUAUCAGCUUGUUGUUGGGGUAGUGGCUUACCAAGGCUUUGACGGGUAGCCGGCCUGAGAGGGUGACCGGCCAGGUUGGGACUGAGAUACGGCCCAGACUCCUACGGGAGGCAGCAGUGGGGAAGAGUGCACAAUGGGCGGAAGCCUGAUGCAGCAACGCCGCGUGCGGGAUGACGGCCUGCGGGUUGGAAACCGCUUUCGCCUGUGACGAAGAGUGAGUGACGGUAAUGGGUAAAGAAGCACCGGCUAACUACGUG